CAAAUUAAGUAAUAUAAUUUCUUCAAAUUCAUACUUCUAUGUAUUUCUAUACUCUUUUGUGGUUUCAGUUUCUUAAAAGAAUAAAAGAAAUAUAUAAAAAAAAGUACUUAUUGAACCUUAUUCUCAAGCUUCGAUGAUCUGAUCGAUUCGAAAUCGUCGACACAAUAGCAUGGAACGAUUCGUCGGCGGCAAAUUCAAGCUCGGUCGCAAGAUCGGCAGUGGUUCCUUCGGCGAAAUUUAUCUCGCUACACAUAUCGAUACGUUUGAGAUAGUCGCUGUUAAGAUCGAGAACAAUAAAACGAAGCAUCCGCAACUGUUUUACGAAGCAAAACUGUACAAUAUUCUUCAAGGAGGAAGUGGAAUUCCUAGCAUAAAAUGGUCAGGUGUAGACGGUGAAGAUAAUGCACUUGUUCUCGAUUUGCUCGGACCGAGUUUGGAAGAUCUUUUUGUGUAUUGUGGAAGGAAAUUUUCGCUGAAAACUGUCUUAGUGUUGGCUGAUCAAAUGAUUACAAGAAUUGAAUAUGUUCACUCUAAGGGAUUUCUUCAUAGAGAUAUAAAGCCUGAUAACUUCCUCAUGGGACUUGGUCGGAAAGCAAAUCAAGUUUAUAUAAUUGAUUUUGGACUAGCAAAAAGAUAUCGAGAUUCCACGACUAAUUGCCAUAUUCCAUACAGAGAGAACAAGAAUUUAACGGGGACUGCACGUUAUGCCAGUUGCAAUACUCAUCUUGGAAUAGAGCAAAGUCGAAGGGAUGAUUUGGAAUCACUUGGCUAUGUACUUCUAUAUUUUCUUAGAGGAAGCCUUCCAUGGCAAGGUUUGAAAGCUGGCACAAAGAAGCAGAAAUAUGAUAAAAUAUGUGAGAAGAAGGUGUCCACUCCUAUCGAGGUUCUUUGUAAGUCCCAUCCUGUGGAACUUGCAUCUUACUUCCAUUAUUGCCAUUCGUUGACAUUUGAUCAACGUCCUGAUUAUGGAUUUUUGAAGCGUCUUUUCCGUGAUUUGUUUGCUCGUGAAGGUUAUGAGUUUGACUAUAUUUUUGAUUGGACUAUCAUCAAGCACCAGCAAGCCCAGAAAAGUAGAUCUCAGCUCAGAUUGUCUCCAGUUCCUGGAGGUAGCAGCAGUCAUCCUUUUCCAGUGGAUGUGAACAAUCAUCAAGGAAGUUCUAAUCCUUCUUACUUGACUGAUAUUACAGAGCGCACUAGAUCAAACAAUGUUUCGAGUCCUGUUGAGAAAAAUAUUUUUUACCCUCAUACACCCUCAUCUUCAUUUGCACAUGCCAGUACCUCAAGAAGAAAUGGGCAGAAAUCAACAUUGCCCAAUGAAACUACUAAUUCUGGGCCUGGGCAUGGAAACAAAAUCGGUCCUUCCAGUAGUUGGAUAUCAUCAUUGCAGCGCAUUUCAUCUGCCAAAUGAUGAAAAUUGUAAUUUAUCAGCUCAUAGAUAAGUUUCUAUUAAGUUGAACUCUAUCCAAAUGCAAUUAAUGCUGGUAUACUCGCAUCAUUGACCAAAAAUUCUCAACAUUACCUAUGGUUCAGGUUAAGGAAUUCUAGUGAUGCAUCUAUGAUUAGCUCACCUAAAGCCCCAGUUUUCUUUAGCAUAAACCUUUGGUUGUUACUGAAUACUGAUACCUGAAGCUUGUAUGAUUCUCAUGCUGUAGAUGUCGUAAAUGGCCCAAAUAGCAACCUUUGUUUCACUGGCUUUUCCUAAAUGUGAAUUAUGCGUGAUGGACCAUGUUAUAAGCAUUAGGUAGUCCAAUUUCAUUUUUGACAUUUGUUUGCCGCAACUGCUAUCUUUUAUUUGCAUGCGUUUCAAUUUUUUCUGCUCCUUUUAACGAACUCAUUGAAGUUGUUGAAUAUUUUAGCUUCAUGUUUUCCUUCAUUCUCCAGUUGUUUUCUCAGCGCAAUUUCUAUUUGUUUUUGUGCAUCACUUAAAAUAUUUCGGCUUCUCAUGUCCUGUCAAAGUGUAUGGUGUGUUUGAAGACCGUAAAAUGUAUACCCAUCUUCUAACACGGAAAAUCUAGAAAGGACUGCUUGAAGAAACUAUUUAUAGAAAAUCUAGAAAAGUCUCAAAAGGGCCUUCCCUUCGAGUCCUUGAUUCUGCAAAUAUCAUCAGUGCACGUGGCGUAAAAGUUCAAGUUCUGCCUUUGAUUUCAACUUGCCUAUGACAAUGAACAUGUUACAAUACAUAUCUCUACCGAGCUUGUCUAAUCAUGUACGAUGCGAAUCUGUUCGGGAUAAUGAGAGAAUAUAUAAAAUGAACAACUAACUUUUUUACACAUUUGCUGUGGAAAAUGGAUUCUGAAGAACUGAGGAGCUCUACGUGACUAUGCUGGUAUCGCGUAAACUAGGCGAGGCAGACAAUACAUUACUUCGAGCUAUCGUAUGUACAACUGCUGACAAUCUACUGUCUGAUAUAUAAUGCUAUUUCAGAAUGGAAAAAGUCGAUGAAAACAUUAUGUUCUGUCCUUACAACUAGGGCUCCUUUGAUUGUACAUUUUUGGUCUUCCUUGAAAGCUCUUGGGGCAGUGCCAAAUCAUUAUUAUUAUUAUUAUUAUCAAAGGUUAAAUGACAUAUGUAAGCAAAUCCAUAUGAUUAUUUAUUGUUCAUCUUCUGUAAAUAUCAGUGGCUAUAUCUCAUUUACUUUAAAUAGCUUUAGUUGGAACAAACGAAGAUUUGCGUCUUGCUGGUUUUAUUUCAAUCAAAUGGUUUGAAACAAGAAUAAA